UUAUAAGUAGUAUUUAAAUUUCAUAAUUUCUUUAAACAUUGCGGAUACAAGAAUUUUUAAAGGUAAUUAUCUGGCAAAAAGUAUGUUAACACUGUUGCAUAUUGUUAAAAUGUUUUGAAAAGAUUUACAUACGACAGAUAGAGAUACAAACAUGCUCACAUCAUAUACAACAUACAACUUUAUUAAAAUAUUUCUAUAAAAUAAAGCAAAAAGACACAUAUGUACAAGAAACAAGGUAAUUAUAAUGGUAUUUAGAACAGCAUGAAAAGGAAUUAUGAUUUUUUAUUCUAGAUUUUUUGUUUUAAAAAUUACAUAAAAUACUAAAAGAAGCCAUAGAAACAAAUAAUAAUACUCUGAACAAAAAAAAAAAAUAAAAUAAAUAAAUAAAAUUUCUAUAUGAUGUACUAUUAAUGAAGAAUAGAAAACAUUAGACAUUAGUUUAAGAUGAUCAUAAUAACGUAUAACAAUUAUAAUUAUUAUUUUAUGUUGACAAUUAUGUUUUCUCUAAAUUAAAUGGUAAAUAAAGAAAAACUGCAAAAAA